rnacentral:rRNA from 1 species
GACAGAGGUGGCGAGCGUUAUCCGGAUUGACUGGGCGUAGAGGGCGUGUAGGCGGUUCUAUAAGUCGGUCGUGAAAGGCGUCGGCUCAACCGAAGCAGUGCGACCGAGACUGUAGGGCUUGGAGCGCGGAAGAGGAAAGGGGAAUUCCCGGUGUAGCAGUGAAAUGCGUAGAUAUCGGGAAGAACACCAAUGGCGAAGGCGGCAUCCUGGACCGGUAUUGACGCUGAGGCGCGAAAGCUAGGGGAGCAAACGGG